CCUACGGGAGGCAGCAGUGGGGAAUAUUGCACAAUGGGGGAAACUCUGAUCCAGCGACGCCGCGUGAGUGAAGAAGUAUUUCGGUAUGUAAAGCUCUAUUAGCAGGGAAGAAGAAAGACGGUACCUGACCAAGAAGCCCCGGCUAACUACGUGCCAGCAGCCGCGGUAAUACGUAGGGGGCAAGCGUUAUCCGGAUUUACUGGGUGUAAAGGGAGCGUAGACGGCUGUGCAAGUCUGAAGUGAAAGCCCAGGGCUCAACCCUGGGACUGCUUUGGAAACUGUGGAGCUAGAGUGCUGGAGAGGUAAGUGGAAUGCCUAGUGUAGCGGUGAAAUGCGUAGAUAUUAGGAGGAACACCAGUGGCGAAGGCGGCUUACUGGACAGUAACUGACGUUGAGGCUCGAAAGCGUGGGGAGCAAACAGGAUUAGAUACCCUUGUAGUC
rnacentral:rRNA from 1 species